rnacentral:rRNA from 1 species
UCGAGAAUUUUUCACAAUGGGCGAAAGCCUGAUGGAGCGACGCCGCGUGGGGGAUGAAUGGCUUCGGCCCAUAAACCCCUGUCAUUUGCGAGCAAUGGUUUUCCGUUAACAGCGGGAAACUUGAUAGUAGCGAAAGAGGAAGGGACGGCUAACUCUGUGCCAGCAGCAGCGGUAAUACAGAGGUCCCGAGCGUUGUUCGGAUUCACUGGGCGUAAAGGGUGCGUAGGUGGUAGGGUAAGUUUGAUGUGAAAUCUCCGGGCUUAACCCGGAAAAUGCAUUGAAUACUAUUCUGCUAGAGAGUUGGAGGUGGGACUGGAAUUCUUGGUGUAGCAGUGAACUGCGUAGAUAUCAAGAGGAACACCAGUGGCGAAGGCGAGUCCCUGGACAACUUCUGACACUGAGGCACGAAAGCUAGGGGAUCAAACA